UCCCUGGUGGCUAAGACGGUAAAAGCGUCUGCCUACAAUGCAGAAGACCUAGGUUUGAUCCCUGGGUUGGGAA
rnacentral:tRNA from 1 species